GACGAACGCUGGCGGCGUGCCUAAUACAUGCAAGUAGAACGCUGAAGCGAGGAGCUUGCUCUUCUUGGGUGAGUUGCGGACGGGUGAGUAACGCGUAGGUAACCUGCCUUGUAGCGGGGGAUAACUAUUGGAAACGAUAGCUAAUACCGCAUAACAAUUUAUGACACAUGUCAUUUAUUUGAAAGGGGCAAUUGCUCCACUACAAGAUGGACCUGCGUUUUAUUAGCUAGUAGGUGAGGUAAUGGCUCACCUAGGCGACGAUACAUAGACGACCUGAGAGGGUGAUCCGCCCACCUGGGACUGAGAACAGGCCCCGAAUUCUAACGGAGGGCGCAGUAGGGGAACUUCGGCAAAGGGGGCAAACCUGAACGAGCCAAGGCGCGUGAGUGAAGAAGGGUUUCGGAUCGUAAAGAUCUGUUGUAAGUGAAGAAAGAGUGUGAGAGUUGAAAGUUCACACUGUGACGGUAGCUAAUCAGAAAGGGACGGCUAACUACGUG
rnacentral:rRNA from 1 species